GGCUGCUCUGAAGGUAGUGAGUUAUCUGAGUUGAUUGUUCAGUCACUUGCAGAUCAAAUUCCUUGUUCUACUCUUUACCCCCUUCUCACUGCUGCACUUGACUAUUCGAAA
ensembl:misc_RNA Y_RNA Y RNA